GAUUAAGUUAUUAAGGGCGCACGGUGGAUGCCUUGGCACUAGAAGCCGAUGAAGGACGUUACUAACGACGAUAUGCUUUGGGGAGCUGUAAGUAAGCUUUGAUCCAGAGAUUUCCGAAUGGGGAAACCCAGCAUGAGUUAUGUCAUGUUAUCGAUAUGUGAAUACAUAGCAUAUCAGAAGGCACACCCGGAGAACUGAAACAUCUUAGUACCCGGAGGAAGAGAAAGAAAAUUCGAUUCCCUUAGUAGCGGCGAGCGAAACGGGAAGAGCCCAAACCAACAAGCUUGCUUGUUGGGGUUGUAGGACACUCUAUACGGAGUUACAAAGGACGACAUUAGACGAAUCAUCUGGAAAGAUGAAUCAAAGAAGGUAAUAAUCCUGUAGUCGAAAAUGUUGUCUCUCUUGAGUGGAUCCUGAGUACGACGGAGCACGUGAAAUUCCGUCGGAAUCUGGGAGGACCAUCUCCUAAGGCUAAAUACUCUCUAGUGACCGAUAGUGAACCAGUACCGUGAGGGAAAGGUGAAAAGCACCCCGGAAGGGGAGUGAAAUAGAACCUGAAACCGUGUGCUUACAAGUAGUCAGAGCCCGUUAAUGGGUGAUGGCGUGCCUUUUGUAGAAUGAACCGGCGAGUUACGAUUUGAUGCAAGGUUAAGCAGUAAAUGUGGAGCCGUAGCGAAAGCGAGUCUGAAUAGGGCGUUUAGUAUUUGGUCGUAGACCCGAAACCAGGUGAUCUACCCUUGGUCAGGUUGAAGUUCAGGUAACACUGAAUGGAGGACCGAACCGACUUACGUUGAAAAGUGAGCGGAUGAACUGAGGGUAGCGGAGAAAUUCCAAUCGAACCUGGAGAUAGCUGGUUCUCUCCGAAAUAGCUUUAGGGCUAGCCUCAAGUGAUGAUUAUUGGAGGUAGAGCACUGUUUGGACGAGGGGCCCCUCUCGGGUUACCGAAUUCAGACAAACUCCGAAUGCCAAUUAAUUUAACUUGGGAGUCAGAACAUGGGUGAUAAGGUCCGUGUUCGAAAGGGAAACAGCCCAGACCACCAGCUAAGGUCCCAAAAUAUAUGUUAAGUGGAAAAGGAUGUGGCGUUGCCCAGACAACUAGGAUGUUGGCUUAGAAGCAGCCAUCAUUUAAAGAGUGCGUAAUAGCUCACUAGUCGAGUGACACUGCGCCGAAAAUGUACCGGGGCUAAACAUAUUACCGAAGCUGUGGAUUGUCCUUUGGACAAUGGUAGGAGAGCGUUCUAAGGGCGUUGAAGCAUGAUCGUAAGGACAUGUGGAGCGCUUAGAAGUGAGAAUGCCGGUGUGAGUAGCGAAAGACGGGUGAGAAUCCCGUCCACCGAUUGACUAAGGUUUCCAGAGGAAGGCUCGUCCGCUCUGGGUUAGUCGGGUCCUAAGCUGAGGCCGACAGGCGUAGGCGAUGGAUAACAGGUUGAUAUUCCUGUACCACCUAUAAUCGUUUUAAUCGAUGGGGGGACGCAGUAGGAUAGGCGAAGCGUGCGAUUGGAUUGCACGUCUAAGCAGUAAGGCUGAGUAUUAGGCAAAUCCGGUACUCGUUAAGGCUGAGCUGUGAUGGGGAGAAGACAUUGUGUCUUCGAGUCGUUGAUUUCACACUGCCGAGAAAAGCCUCUAGAUAGAAAAUAGGUGCCCGUACCGCAAACCGACACAGGUAGUCAAGAUGAGAAUUCUAAGGUGAGCGAGCGAACUCUCGUUAAGGAACUCGGCAAAAUGACCCCGUAACUUCGGGAGAAGGGGUGCUCUUUAGGGUUAACGCCCAGAAGAGCCGCAGUGAAUAGGCCCAAGCGACUGUUUAUCAAAAACACAGGUCUCUGCUAAACCGUAAGGUGAUGUAUAGGGGCUGACGCCUGCCCGGUGCUGGAAGGUUAAGAGGAGUGGUUAGCUUCUGCGAAGCUACGAAUCGAAGCCCCAGUAAACGGCGGCCGUAACUAUAACGGUCCUAAGGUAGCGAAAUUCCUUGUCGGGUAAGUUCCGACCCGCACGAAAGGCGUAACGAUUUGGGCACUGUCUCAACGAGAGACUCGGUGAAAUCAUAGUACCUGUGAAGAUGCAGGUUACCCGCGACAGGACGGAAAGACCCCGUGGAGCUUUACUGUAGCCUGAUAUUGAAAUUCGGCACAGCUUGUACAGGAUAGGUAGGAGCCUUUGAAACGUGAGCGCUAGCUUACGUGGAGGCGCUGGUGGG
rnacentral:rRNA from 1 species